AGCUUGCAGCUCUUAAAGAAGCAAGGGAUUCAGGAUUUACUUAUUUGCUUGCACAUGGGGGAUGUGAGAGCAAAGAAAAAUUCCUUUUCGUCAAGAAAUUGGUCAUUAGCUACUUACAUUCAUUCUUUAAGGAAGAAUUGUAGAGGCAGCGCAGCCACAACGUGAGUACCUCACAUGAAUAUCUUGCAAGUUGGGAUGACAUGCAUGGUAUAAUUCAUUGGAUUUUUUUUUGUGCAAUUUGUUGCUGUUGGCCACCUAUUGCUGCCACUGUGAAAACUGAAUGAACUUUUAGGAAGCAAAUCAGAAAUCAUUGAACUUUUGCAUCUCUGCCUUUGCGGCUUUUGUGUGGAAUUCUUGAUGGAUUUGUCCUCGAAAUAUAUUCUUCUCGUCAGUUGUCACCCAUAACUAAAUCACCUUCAUCUUGAAGGAAAAUUCCUAAUGGAAUAUCAUGGAGCAAUCUGCUAAUGGUGCAAAUGCGACCUCAAGAAAAGGUAUUUCUUUCAUUCCUCAUUCUUGGAUGCAUGGCUAAAUUAAACCUGAACCCUGCAAAGUUUGACACAUCUUUCUGACUCCGAAAAUCCAUUUUCGUGAAUGGUGAUGAAAUUGGUACCUUUUUUACUCUACUUUCCUUGCACAUUUCUGGACUCCAUAUCAAAAUCUGUGGUAGAAAAAAGGGUUUCAGGCAUUGGGUCAAUUUUUUUUCCUU
rnacentral:misc_RNA from 1 species